rnacentral:lncRNA from 1 species
UUUCAGGUUUGGGAAAAUUUAUCCGUGUCCAGCGAGCAUUACUUAAAAUAAGUCCCAUCUACAUUUACAUCGCUGCACACCCAAACAACUGCGCAAAGAAAUGUCAGCAAAUCAAGGAAUGCUUAGCAUUCAACUAUGACAAUAAGAAUGAUAUAUGUAGCCUGUUAUCCGAAGAUGCCUCAACAAACAACACUUUGAAAUCAGAAGAUUGUGAACACACAGACUACUAUCAAUUGAAAAAAGUUUCAGGUGAAAAGAAUGUAAUUAAAGGAGCGGCACUGAGCACCUGCGACGAUAAAAAAUUGGUUAACGACAUUAACUCAAAACUGGAAUGUGAGAAGACAUGCUUGGCCGUGAAAUGUAGUGCAUUAGAUUAUUCAGCUACUGAAGAUCAAUGUCAUAUCUUCGAACGUGCUAUAAAGCAUCAUGGUUUGUAUGGUGACGAAGACACAAUAUACGUUGGUUUUUCUGAAUGACCUAUAUCCUAAAUUACUUCAAGUAAACUAUUAUAAAUACAAGCACAAAUAAAGAGUUUAAAUAUCUAUUUAAAAAAAAAUUCUU